rnacentral:ribozyme from 13 species
UUUUUUUUUGCUAUUGAAAUUCCUAUAUUAAUUUACUGACUAGCCCUAUCGGAACCACAAUUAGUCUAAUGUGUGUGUAUUCUGUAAGACGGUUUCAAAAACUCCAGACUACUGCAUCAAGGAGGAAUUUACUUGAUCUUUAUGAUAUAAACUACAGCAAAAAAAAACACAAAAAAUAUGUGUUCGUUUUUGUUUCCUUUU